rnacentral:rRNA from 1 species
AUGAACGCUGGCGGCGUGCCUCAUACCUGCAAGUCGAGCGAACAGACGAGGAGCUUGCUCCCCUGACGUUAGCGGCGGACGGGUGAGUAACACGUGGAUAACCUACCUAUAAGACUGGGAUAACUUCGGGAAACCGGAGCUAAUACCGGAUAAUAUAUUGAACCGCAUGGUUCAAUAGUGAAAGACGGUUUUGCUGUCACUUAUAGAUGGAUCCGCGCCGCAUUAGCUAGUUGGUAAGGUAACGGCUUACCAAGGCAACGAUGCGUAGCCGACCUGAGAGGGUGAUCGGCCACACUGGAACUGAGACACGGUCCAGACUCCUACGGGAGGCAGCAGUAGGGAAUCUUCCGCAAUGGGCGAAAGCCUGACGGAGCAACGCCGCGUGAGUGAUGAAGGUCUUCGGAUCGUAAAACUCUGUUAUUAGGGAAGAACAAAUGUGUAAGUAACUAUGCACGUCUUGACGGUACCUAAUCAGAAAGCCACGGCUAACUACGUG